AGCGAACGCUGGCGGCAGGCCUAACACAUGCAAGUCGAACGAAGUCUUCGGACUUAGUGGCGGACGGGUGAGUAACACGUGGGAACGUGCCUUUCGGUUCGGAAUAACUCAGGGAAACUUGUGCUAAUACCGAAUGUGCCCUUCGGGGGAAAGAUUUAUCGCCUUUAGAGCGGCCCGCGUCUGAUUAGCUAGUUGGGGAGGUAAAGGCUCACCAAGGCGACGAUCAGUAGCUGGUCUGAGAGGAUGAUCAGCCACAUUGGGACUGAGACACGGCCCAAACUCCUACGGGAGGCAGCAGUGGGGAAUCUUGCGCAAUGGGCGAAAGCCUGACGCAGCCAUGCCGCGUGAAUGAUGAAGGUCUUAGGAUUGUAAAAUUCUUUCACCGGGGACGAUAAUGACGGUACCCGGAGAAGAAGCCCCGGCUAACUUCGUGCCAGCAGCCGCCGUAACAC
rnacentral:rRNA from 1 species